rnacentral:rRNA from 1 species
UACGUAGGAGGCGAGCGUUUGUCCGGAAUCACUGGGCGUAAAGCGCGUGUAGGCGGGGGGGCAAGUCUGCUGUGAAAGCGCCUGGCUUAACCGGGCGAGGUCGGCGGAAACUGCUUCCCUGGAGGGCGGUAGAGGGGGUGGAAUUCCCGGUGUAGUGGUGAAAUGCGUAGAGAUCGGGAGGAACACCUGUGGCGAAGGCGGCCCCCUGGGCCGUACCUGACGCUGAGACGCGAAGGCGUGGGGAGCGAAACGGG